rnacentral:misc_RNA from 1 species
CUGGUGGACAGAGCUUACAAGCAAUUGCUGUACUUCAGUAUCUUCACAAUGCCCUUCUUUGCAGCCCGUCAUCACAAAAACAUUCUUCAUCCUGCCUUCCAAGGUUGCAAUCUCUGCCUUCAUUACUAUCAAAUGGAGUGAAUCAAGUGCUUGUCUCAAAUCAGAUAGAAGUCCAGGCUUAUAAUCACAGCUCAAUGAUACCCUGAUUAAAUAAGGGCCAACAUCCAAUCCAUUCUCUUGUCCUUCUACUCUUAC